rnacentral:rRNA from 1 species
GACGAACGCUGGCGGCGUGCUUAACACAUGCAAGUCGAACGGUAAGGCCCUUCGGGGUACACGAGUGGCGAACGGGUGGAGUAACACGUGGGUGAUCUGCCCUGCACUUCGGGAUAAGCUUGGGAAACAGGGUCUAAUACCGGAUAGGACCACGGUCUGCAUGGAUUGUGGUGGAAAGCUUUUGCGGUGUGGGAUGGGCCCGCGGCCUAUCAGCUUGUUGGUGGGGUGAUGGCCUACCAAGGCGACGACGGGUAGCCGGCCUGAGAGGGUGUCCGGCCACACUGGGACUGAGAUACGGCCCAGACUCCUACGGGAGGCAGCAGUGGGGAAUAUUGCACAAUGGGCGCAAGCCUGAUGCAGCGACGCCGCGU